rnacentral:rRNA from 1 species
GUUGUAUGGUUAAGUGACUAAGCGUACACGGUGGAUGCCUGGGCAGUCAGAGGCGAUGAAGGACGUACUAACUUGCGAUAAGCGCAGAUAAGGCAGUAAGAGCCGUUUGAGUCUGCGAUUUCCGAAUGGGGAAACCCAACUGCAUAAGCAGUUACUGUUAACUGAAUACAUAGGUUAACAGAGCAAACCGGGGGAACUGAAACAUCUAAGUACCCCGAGGAGAAGAAAUCAACCGAGAUUCCGGUAGUAGCGGCGAGCGAACCUGGAUUAGCCCUUAAGCACUCGGUGAAGUAGGUGAACAAGCUGGAAAGCUUGGCGAUACAGGGUGAUAGCCCCGUAACCGACGCUUCAUCGAGCGUGAAAUCGAGUAGGGCGGGACACGUGAUAUCCUGUCUGAAUAUGGGGGGACCAUCCUCCAAGGCUAAAUACUCCUGACUGACCGAUAGUGAACCAGUACCGUGAGGGAAAGGCGAAAAGAACCCCUGUGAGGGGAGUGAAAUAGAACCUGAAACCGUGUACGUACAAGCAGUAGGAGCACCUUCGUGGUGUGACUGCGUACCUUUUGUAUAAUGGGUCAGCGACUUAUAUUCAGUGGCAAGGUUAACCGUAUAGGGGAGCCGUAACGAAAGCGAGUCUUAACUGGGCGCUCAGUCUCUGGAUAUAGACCCGAAACCGGGUGAUCUAGCCAUGGGCAGGUUGAAGGUUGAGUAACAUCAACUGGAGGACCGAACCGACUAAUGUUGAAAAAUUAGCGGAUGACUAUGUGGCUAGGGGUGAAAGGCCAAUCAAACUCGGAGAUAGCUGGUUCUCCCCGAAAGCUAUUUAGGUAGCGCCUCUGACGAAUACUACUGGGGGUAGAGCACUGUUAAGGCUAGGGGGUCAUACCGACUUACCAACCCUUUGCAAACUCCGAAUACCAGUAAGUACUAUCCGGGAGACACACGGCGGGUGCUAACGACCGUCGUGGAGAGGGAAACAACCCAUACCGCCAGCUAAGGACCCAAAGUAUUGCUAAGUGGGAAACGAUGUGGGAAGGCUCAAACAGCUAGGAUGUUGGCUUAGAAGCAGCCAUCAUUUAAAGAAAGCGUAAUAGCUCACUAGUCGAGUCGGCCUCUGCGCGGAAGAUGUAACGGGGCUAAGCAAUACACCGAAGCUGCGGCAAUGUCUUUUAGACAUUGGGUAGGGGAGCGUUCUGUAAGCCGUUGAAGGUGAAUCGUAAGGUUUGCUGGAGGUAUCAGAAGUGCGAAUGCUGACAUGAGUAACGACAAAGGGGGUGAAAAACCUCCUCGCCGGAAGACCAAGGGUUCCUGUCCAACGUUAAUCGGGGCAGGGUGAGUCGACCCCUAAGGUGAGGCCGAAAGGCGUAAUCGAUGGGAAACGGGUUAAUAUUCCCGUACUUCUGACUAUUGCGAUGGGGGGACGGACAAGGCUAUGUGGGCCAGGCGACGGUUGUCCUGGUUCAAGUGCGUAUGCUUGACAGUUAGGUAAAUCCGGCUCUCUCUAAGGAUGAGACACGACGUCCAGCUACUACUGUAGUGAAGUCAUUGAUGCCAUGCUUCCAGGAAAAGCCUCUAAGCUUCAGAUAGUCAGGAAUCGUACCCCAAACCGACACAGGUGGUCGGGUAGAGAAUACCAAGGCGCUUGAGAGAACUCGGGUGAAGGAACUAGGCAAAAUGGUACCGUAACUUCGGGAGAAGGUACGCUCUUGAUGGUGAAGUCCCUCGCGGAUGGAGCUGACGAGAGUCGCAGAUACCAGGUGGCUGCAACUGUUUAUUAAAAACACAGCACUGUGCAAAAUCGCAAGAUGACGUAUACGGUGUGACGCCUGCCCGGUGCCGGAAGGUUAAUUGAUGGGGUUAGCGCAAGCGAAGCUCUUGAUCGAAGCCCCGGUAAACGGCGGCCGUAACUAUAACGGUCCUAAGGUAGCGAAAUUCCUUGUCGGGUAAGUUCCGACCUGCACGAAUGGCGUAAUGAUGGCCACGCUGUCUCCACCCGAGACUCAGUGAAAUUGAAAUCGCUGUGAAGAUGCAGUGUACCCGCGGCUAGACGGAAAGACCCCGUGAACCUUUACUACAGCUUGGCACUGAACAUUGAACCUACAUGUGUAGGAUAGGUGGGAGGCUAUGAAGACGUGACGCCAGUUGCGUUGGAGCCGUCCUUGAAAUACCACCCUUGUAUGUUUGAUGUUCUAACUUAGACCCGUUAUCCGGGUUGAGGACAGUGCCUGGUGGGUAGUUUGACUGGGGCGGUCUCCUCCCAAAGAGUAACGGAGGAGCACAAAGGUGGGCUAAUCACGGUUGGACAUCGUGAGGUUAGUGCAAUGGCAUAAGCCCGCUUAACUGCGAGAAUGACGGUUCGAGCAGGUGCGAAAGCAGGUCAUAGUGAUCCGGUGGUUCUGUAUGGAAGGGCCAUCGCUCAACGGAUAAAAGGUACUCCGGGGAUAACAGGCUGAUACCGCCCAAGAGUUCAUAUCGACGGCGGUGUUUGGCACCUCGAUGUCGGCUCAUCACAUCCUGGGGCUGAAGUCGGUCCCAAGGGUAUGGCUGUUCGCCAUUUAAAGUGGUACGCGAGCUGGGUUUAGAACGUCGUGAGACAGUUCGGUCCCUAUCUGCCGUGGGCGUUGGAAGAUUGAAGGGGGCUGCUCCUAGUACGAGAGGACCGGAGUGGACGAACCUCUGGUGUUCGGGUUGUGUCGCCAGACGCAUUGCCCGGUAGCUAAGUUCGGAAUUGAUAAGCGCUGAAAGCAUCUAAGCGCGAAGCGAGCCCUGAGAUGAGUCUUCCCUGACAGUUUAACUGUCCUAAAGGGUGUUCGAGACUAGAACGUUGAUAGGCAGGGUGUGUAAGCGUUGUGAGGCGUUGAGCUAACCUGUACUAAUUGCCCGUGAGGCUUAWCCAUACAACACCCAAGGGGUUU